UCGCGGCCUAUCAGCUUGUUGGUGGGGUAAUGGCCUACCAAGGCGACGACGGGUAGCCGGCCUGAGAGGGUGUCCGGCCACACUGGGACUGAGAUACGGCCCAGACUCCUACGGGAGGCAGCAGUGGGGAAUAUUGCACAAUGGGCGCAAGCCUGAUGCAGCGACGCCGCGUGAGGGAUGACGGCCUUCGGGUUGUAAACCUCUUUCAAUAGGGACGAAGCGCAAGUGACGGUACCUAUAGAAGAAGCACCGGCCAACUACGUGCCAGCAGCCGCGGUAAUACGUAGGGUGCGAGCGUUGUCCGGAAUUACUGGGCGUAAAGAGCUCGUAGGUGGUUUGUCGCGUUGUUCGUGAAAACUCACAACUCAAUUGUGGGCGUGCGGGCGAUACGGGCAGACUGGAGUACUGCAGGGGAGACUGGAAUUCCUGGUGUAGCGGUGGAAUGCGCAGAUAUCAGGAGGAACACCGGUGGCGAAGGCGGGUCUCUGGGUAGUAACUGACGCUGAGGAGCGAAAGCGUGGGGAGCGAACAGGAUUAGAUACCCUGGUAGUCCACGCCGUAAACGUUGGGCACUAGGUGUGGGACUCUAUCGACGGGUUCCGUGCCGUAGCUAACGCAUUAAGUGCCCCGCCUGGGGAGUACGG
rnacentral:rRNA from 1 species